rnacentral:rRNA from 1 species
AUACGGAGGAUCCGAGCGUUAUCCGGAUUUAUUGGGUUUAAAGGGUGCGCAGGCGGGAGAUUAAGUCGGCGGUGAAAUUUUGCAGCUCAACUGUAAAAGUGCCUUCGAAACUGGUUUCCUUGAGUGUAGAUGAAGUAGGCGGAAUUUGUGGUGUAGCGGUGAAAUGCAUAGAUAUCACGAGGAACUCCGAUUGCGCAGGCAGCUUACUAAACUACUACUGACGCUCAGGCACGAAGGCGUGGGGAUCAAACAGGAUUAGAUACCCUGGUAGUCCACGCAGUAAACGAUGAUUACUAGCUGUUUGCGAUACAAUGUAAGCGGCUGAGCGAAAGCGUUAAGUAAUCCACCUGGGGAGUACGUCCGCAAGAAUGAAACUCAAAGGAAUUGACGGGG